rnacentral:rRNA from 1 species
AUUGAACGCUGGCGGCAGGCCUAACACAUGCAAGUCGAGCGGAUGACGGGAGCUUGCUCCUUGAUUCAGCGGCGGACGGGUGAGUAAUGCCUAGGAAUCUGCCUGGUAGUGGGGGACAACGUUUCGAAAGGAACGCUAAUACCGCAUACGUCCUACGGGAGAAAGCAGGGGACCUUCGGGCCUUGCGCUAUCAGAUGAGCCUAGGUCGGAUUAGCUAGUAGGUGAGGUAAUGGCUCACCUAGGCGACGAUCCGUAACUGGUCUGAGAGGAUGAUCAGUCACACGGGAACUGAGACACGGUCCAGACUCCUACGGGAGGCAGCAGUGGGGAAUAUUGGACAAUGGGCGAAAGCCUGAUUCAGCCAUGCCGCGUGUGUGAAGAAGGUCUUCGGAUUGUAAAGCACUUUAAGUUGGGAGGAAGGGUUGUACGUUAAUACCGUGCAAUUUUGACGUUACCGACAGAAUAAGCACCGGCUAACUCUGUGCCAGCCGCCGCGGUAA